CCUACGGGAGGCUGUAGUGGGGGAUAUUGCACAAUGGGGGAAACCCUGAUGCAGCAACGCCGCGUGUGGGAAGAAGGUUUUCGGAUUGUAAACCACUGUUCUUGGUGAAGAUAAUGACGGUAACCAAGGAGAAAGCUCCGGCUAACUACGUGCCAGCAGCCGCGGUAAUACGUAGGGAGCCAGCGUUGUCCGGAUUUACUGGGUUUAAAGGGUGCGGAGGCGGGCUUGCUAGUCAGAUGUGAAAUUCCGGGGCUCAACCCCGGCCCUGCAUUUGAAACUGUUGGUCUGGAGUCUCUGAGAGGCAGGCGGAAUUCCUAGUGUAGCGGUGAAAUGCGUAGAUAUUAGGAGGAACACCAGUUGCGGAGGCGGCUUACUGGACGAUAACUGACGCUGAGGCUCGAAAGCGUGGGGAGCAAACAGGAUUAGAUACCCGAGUAGUC
rnacentral:rRNA from 1 species